rnacentral:rRNA from 1 species
GAUGAACGCUAGCUACAGGCUUAACACAUGCAAGUCGAGGGGAAACGACAUCGAAAGCUUGCUUUUGAUGGGCGUCGACCGGCGCACGGGUGAGUAACGCGUAUCCAACCUGCCCAUCACUUGGGAAUAACCUUGCGAAAGUAAGACUAAUACCCAAUGACAUCCCACGAAGACAUCUAAAUUGGAUUAAAGAUGUAUCGGUGAUGGAUGGGGCUGCGUCUGAUUAGCUUGUUGGCGGGGUAACGGCCCACCAAGGCAACGAUCAGUAGGGGUUCUGAGAGGAAGGUCCCCCACAUUGGAACUGAGACACGGUCCAAACUCCUACGGGAGGCAGCAGUGAGGAAUAUUGGUCACUGGGCGAGAGCCUGAACCAGCCAAGUAGCGUGCAGGAUGACGGCCCUAUGGGUUGUAAACUGCUUUUAUAAGGGAAUAAAGUGGGUCUCGUGAGACUUUUUGCAUGUACCUUAUGAAUAAGGACCGGCUAAUUCCGUG